rnacentral:tRNA from 1 species
GCGGGCGUGGCGGAACCGGUAGACGCGCUAGGUUUAGGUCCUAGUGGGUGAAAACCCGUGGGGGUUCAAGUCCCUCCGCCCGCACCA